GACGAACGCUGGCGGCGUGCCUAAUACAUGCAAGUCGAACGAGUGGCGGACGGGUGAGUAAUGCCUGGGAAUAUGCCUUAGCGUGGGGGAUAACUAUUGGAAACGAUAGCUAAUACCGCAUACGCCAAGAUUAGCCCAGGUGAGAUUAGCUAGUUGGUGAGGUAAGAGCUCACCAAGGCGACGAUCUCUAGCUGGUCUGAGAGGAUGAUCAGCAACACUGGAACUGAGACACGGUCCAGACUCCGACGUGAGGCAGCAGUGGGGAAUAUUGCACAAUGGGCGAAAGCCUGAUGCAGCCAUGCCGCGUGUAUUAAGAAGGCCUUCGGGUUGUAAAGUACUUUCAGUAGGGAGGCGUUACCUACAGAAGAAGCACCGGCUAACUCCGUGCCAGCAGCCGCGGUAAUUC
rnacentral:rRNA from 1 species